UGCGCGGCCGCUCCGCCCGCGGGCCCUUGCGUUAAGUCCCGUGUUGUGGGCCUGCCAUGGCCGCGGUGCGGGACGUGGAGAUCGACCCUGAUGGCACAUUUAAGUACAUCCUGGUGCGGCUACAGCGGCCUGGCGGUGGGGAACAGCGUGACAUCGUGCGGGGCACCAAGGCGGCCGAGUUCCACAAUCACAUCUUUGAGAAAGUAAAUCCUGAGAUGGAGAAGCUGGGAUACGAGUGCAAGUGCCUUGGAGGAGGGAAAAUUGAUCAUAAUAGCAAAGAGAAGAAAAUUAGGGUGUUUGGGAUGUCUACAUAUCUCUGGCUCUUCCAUCCCAGCUGCUUCUGUGACUCUUGCUGCCUGGAAUCAUGUGAAAAAACCCACAACCUUAGGAUUUGUGCUAGGAAGAGAAGACAUUGGAUAGUGCUUGCUCUACUCAAGUCUCCUGAUUGUGGAUGCCCAUUAUAAUUGCAUUCUUCAAUGAGGCUUUGGCACCUGUGUUAACCAAUUUAGCUGCCAAUUUAGUGUUAGAAGCAGCAGUCAGCUCAACUUACAGACGAGCACAAGGUGAAAGCAGAGUUUUACUGCCAGGAGGGCUUCUGUUGAGUAGAGACCUGGAGAUUUGAAAGACUUCAGCUGGCUAUGGAAAAGCAGAUCAUUCGGUGACUGUGGAGAUCCUGAAAAAAGUGUACACAGAUUAUGAAAUCACAUGGUCAGAUGACAAGAAAUAAACUGGCUACUUAUGAAUGUGACAAGCAGUUCAAAUCUGGAAGCUUUCAGUGAUUUGUGCUUCAAUAAAUACAAUUGAGUGUAUGUAUGUUAUCAUGAA